AGAGCGGCGGACGGGUGAGUAAUGCCUAGGAAUCUGCCUGGUAGUGGGGGAUAACGUCCGGAAACGGACGCUAAUACCGCAUACGUCCUACGGGAGAAAGCAGGGGACCUUCGGGCCUUGCGCUAUCAGAUGAGCCUAGGUCGGAUUAGCUAGUUGGUGGGGUAAUGGCUCACCAAGGCGACGAUCCGUAACUGGUCUGAGAGGAUGAUCAGUCACACUGGAACUGAAACACGGUCCAGACUCCUACGGGAGGCAGCAGUGGGGAAUAUUGGACAAUGGGCGAAAGCCUGAUCCAGCCAUGCCGCGUGUGUGAAGAAGGUCUUCGGAUUGUAAAGCACUUUAAGUUGGGAGGAAGGGCAGUAAAUUAAUACUUUGCUGUUUUGACGUUACCGACAGAAUAAGCACCGGCUAACUCUGUGCCACCAGCCGCGGUAAUACAGAGGGUGCAAGCGUUAAAUCGGAAUUUACUGGGCGUACAGCGCGCGUAGGUGGUUCGUUUAAGUUGGAUGUGAAAUCCCCCGGCCUCAACCUGGGGAAACUGCAUUC
rnacentral:rRNA from 1 species